GGCUUGCUGCAGAGCUAUCAAAAUUUAGUCUUCAUGAAUAUUGAAAUGGGUAUUAAGCAUGCUUUGAGAGGUAAGAGAUGGUGGAUCACAUGAAGCUUUGUCUUCCCUCUCAAGUGCUCCAAUUGUGGAUAUGGCCUGCUGGACCAAGGACAUCCACAAUCUACCAGAAAGUCACAGAACCCACCCAAGGAUUUCAGUUAAAGACUUCCAAAUAACUCAACUGAAGGUGGAUAAUUAGCGCAGCAAAUUUCAUCUCAAAACCUACUGGUAACAGAAAAUGGGAAAAUCGGACUCGUGAUCAGAAGCUUGGAGGAAACAAUAACCCUAAGUAUUGAAUUACUCAACAAUUUUCCAGACCAUAAACCUGUUGCAUACCACACUGGCAUAUUGACAGUCUCACUGUGUUACGUAAUUUACUGUCUUUGGGGAGAUGAGAU